rnacentral:rRNA from 1 species
GUUCUACCUUGACGAAUUGUAGUUUAAAGAAGUGUUUUCUGUUAGAGGAGUAGCAAAAGUUCCUUGGAAUGGGACAUCAUAGAGGGUGAGAAUCCCGUAUUUGGUUAUUCUUUCUAGCUUUGUGAUACACUUUCAAAGAGUCGGAUUGUUUGGGAAUGCAGUCCAAAAUGGGUGGUAAAUUUCAUCUAAAGCUAAAUAUUGGCGAGAGACCGAUAGCGAACAAGUACCGUGAGGGAAAGAUGAAAAGAACUUUGAAAAGAGAGUUAAACAGUACGUGAAAUUGUCAAAAGGGAAGCGUUUGACACCAGUGUUGUUUUUCCGAAAAUCAAUUAAGAACGGCUUGAUUUUGUGUUGUAUUGACCUUAUCAGCUUUCUUCACUCUUUUUCGAGUCUUUCUU